GCUGGCGGAAUGCUUUACACAUGCAAGUCGAACGGCAGCACGGGGGCAACCCUGGUGGCGAGUGGCGAACGGGUGAGUAAUACAUCGGAACGUGCCCAGUCGUGGGGGAUAACUACGCGAAAGCGUAGCUAAUACCGCAUACGAUCUACGGAUGAAAGCGGGGGACCGUAAGGCCUCGCGCGAUUGGAGCGGCCGAUGGCAGAUUAUGUAGUUGGUGGGGUAAAGGCCUACCAAGCCGACGAUCUGUAGCUGGUCUGAGAGGACGACCAGCCACACUGGGACUGAGACACGGCCCAGACUCCUACGGGAGGCAGCAGUGGGGAAUUUUGGACAAUGGGCGCAAGCCUGAUCCAGCCAUUCCGCGUGCAGGAUGAAGGCCCUCGGGUUGUAAACUGCUUUUGUACGGAACGAAACGGCGCUUUCUAAUACAAGGCGCUAAUGACGGUACCGUAAGAAUAAGCACCGGCUAACUACGUGCCAGCAGCCGCGGUAAUACGUAGGGUGCGAGCGUUAAUCG
rnacentral:rRNA from 1 species